UGUUUGUGUGUGUGUGUGUGUGUGUGUGUGUGUGUGGUCACAAAAGCUAAGAAGCGUCUCUUAGGUUGUAGUUCAGCUGCUAUUCCCAUCAAAGUGCCUUAUGUUCAUUCCACGGUUGCCGUAUUCAAAUAAUGUACAGUAAAGCUUUAGUAGAGACAUUGAAGCAAUGGCUGUGGUCAGUGUAGAUCAGAUGUUGCUAGAUGUAUUAGUACCCCAUUGCUGCACAGAUAGAAAUGGCAAUAGAACAGCAUCAAAGAGGAAACUAUAAUUGUUAUAUUUGUCAGUAUUAUGUAGAAAUGUCAAUAGAACAUUUUUGAUAAUGCUUUCCACUCUGCCACGGUAUUUUUGUCCCCAUACUGUAAAAUGCAUUUAAUCUGAUUUAUUUCAUCAUGCAACACAUACUAUAGUCAAUAGUUUAGUUCAGUUAUGUUCCCCAGGAAUAAAUAGUUGAUGUGAUGCUGAAGAAAAGUCCACCUUGUAACAUCCAUUAUCUACAAAAACACAACAAAA